rnacentral:rRNA from 1 species
CACGGCCCAGACUCCUACGGGAGGCAGCAGUAGGGAAUUCUUCCGCAAUGGACGAAAGUCUGACGGAGCAACGCCGCUGAGUGAUGAAGGUUUUCGGAUCGUAAAACUCUGGUGGUUAGGGAAGAACAAGUACCGUUCGAAUAGGGCGGUACCUUGACGGUACCUAACCAGAAAGCCACGGCUAACUACGUGCCAGCAGCCGCGGUAAUACGUAGGUGGCAAGCGUUGUCCGGAAUUAUUGGGCGUUAAAGCGCGCGCAGGCGGUUUCUUAAGUCUGAUGUGAAAGCCCCCGGCUCAACCGGGGAGGGUCAUUGGAAACUGGGGAACUUGAGUGCAGAAGAGGAGAGUGGAAUUCCACGUGUAGCGGUGAAAUGCGUAGAGAUGUGGAGGAACACCAGUGGCGAAGGCGACUCUCUGGUCUGUAACUGACGCUGAGGCGCGAAAGCGUUGGGGAGCGAACAGGAUUAGAUACCCUGGUAGUCCACGCCGUAAACGAUGAGUGCUAAGUGUUAGAGGGUUUCCGCCCUUUAGUGCUGCAGCAAACGCAUUAAGCACUCCGCCUGGGGAGUACGGUCGCAAGACUGAAACUCAAAGGAAUUGACGGGGGCCCGCACAAGCGGUGGAGCAUGUGGUUUAAUUCGAAGCAACGCGAAGAACCUUACCAGGUCUUGACAUCCUCUGACAACCCUAGAGAUAGGGCUUCCCCUUCGGGGGCAGAGUGACAGGUGGUGCAUGGUUGUCGUCAGCUCGUGUCGUGAGAUGUUGGGUUAAGUCCCGCAACGAGCGCAACCCUUGAUCUUAGUUGCCAGCAUUCAGUUGGGCACUCUAAGGUGACUGCCGGUGACAAACCGGAGGAAGGUGGGGAUGACGUCAAAUCAUCAUGCCCCUUAUGACCUGGGCUACACACGUGCUACAAUGGGCAGAACAAAGGGCAGCGAAGCCGCGAGGCUAAGCCCAUCCCACAAAUCUGUUCUCAGUUCGGAUCGCAGUCUGCAACUCGACUGCG